UGCAAGUCGAACGGAAAGGCCCUUCGGGGUACUCGAGUGGCGAACGGGUGAGUAACACGUGGGUGAUCUGCCCUGCACUCUGGGAUAAGCCUGGGAAACUGGGUCUAAUACCGGAUAGGACCACACACUUCAUGGUGAGUGGUGCAAAGCUUUUGCGGUGUGGGAUGAGCCCGCGGCCUAUCAGCUUGUUGGUGGGGUAAUGGCCCACCAAGGCGACGACGGGUAGCCGGCCUGAGAGGGUGACCGGCCACACUGGGACUGAGAUACGGCCCAGACUCCUACGGGAGGCAGCAGUGGGGAAUAUUGCACAAUGGGCGCAAGCCUGAUGCAGCGACGCCGCGUGAGGGAUGACGGCCUUCGGGUUGUAAACCUCUUUCAGUAGGGACGAAGCGAAAGUGACGGUACCUACAGAAGAAGGACCGGCCAACUACGUGCCAGCAGCCGCGGUAAUACGUAGGGUCCGAGCGUUGUCCGGAAUUACUGGGCGUAAAGAGCUCGUAGGUGGUUUGUCGCGUUGUUCGUGAAAACUCACAGCUUAACUGUGGGCGUGCGGGCGAUACGGGCAGACUAGAGUACUGCAGGGGAGACUGGAAUUCCUGGUGUAGCGGUGGAAUGCGCAGAUAUCAGGAGGAACACCGGUGGCGAAGGCGGGUCUCUGGGCAGUAACUGACGCUGAGGAGCGAAAGCGUGGGUAGCGAACAGGAUUAGAUACCCUGGUAGUCCACGCCGUAAACGGUGGGUACUAGGUGUGGGUUUCCUUCCUUGGGAUCCGUGCCGUAGCUAACGCAUUAAGUACCCCGCCUGGGGAGUACGGUCGCAAGACUAAAACUCAAAGGAAUUGACGGGGGCCCGCACAAGCGGCGGAGCAUGUGGAUUAAUUCGAUGCAACGCGAAGAACCUUACCUGGGUUUGACAUGCACAGGACGUACCUAGAGAUAGGUAUUCCCUUGUGGCCUGUGUGCAGGUGGUGCAUGGCUGUCGUCAGCUCGUGUCGUGAGAUGUUGGGUUAAGUCCCGCAACGAGCGCAACCCUUGUCCUAUGUUGCCAGCGGGUAAUGCCGGGGACUCGUAGGAGACUGCCGGGGUCAACUCGGAGGAAGGUGGGGAUGACGUCAAGUCAUCAUGCCCCUUAUGUCCAGGGCUUCACACAUGCUACAAUGGCCAGUACAGAGGGCUGCGAAGCCGUAAGGUGGAGCGAAUCCCUUAAAGCUGGUCUCAGUUCGGAUUGGGGUCUGCAACUCGACCCCAUGAAGUCGGAGUCGCUAGUAAUCGCAGAUCAGCAACGCUGCGGUGAAUACGUUCCCGGGCCUUGUACACACCGCCCGUCACGUCAUGAAAGUCGG
rnacentral:rRNA from 1 species